AACAAAUAAUUCGAAAACUGAAGUCCUUUCGUACAAAUAAUUUAAAUAUUUUUAUAGAUAGAAACGAAUCUGACUCACGUCGAUUUGAACUCAAAUCAUAUAAGAUUUUAAAAAGUCGAGCAGACUUAAUUAUUAAAUCUCUACAUUUAAAAUUUAAUUCUUGAUUCAACAUCGAGGUCGCAAUCACUUUUUUCUAUAAGAUCUACGAAAAAGUAUAACGCUGUUAUCCCUAAGGUAAUUUAAUGUAAUAAUUAUAAAUUAAAACUCGAAAUAUUUUCUUAGAUUAAAGUUUUUA